GUCGUUCACCACGCAUCCGAGCUCCAACGCCGCCGACUCGCACAUAGUGAAUUCGUCCACGAAGUGCCGCGAGUGCGGAACGACAUUGCCAGGAUUUCGAACUGAAAAGUGCACGCCAUCUCGUCAGAGAAUCUCUGAUGUUGUAAGAAGCAUUGUAUUAAAAAGGAAAAAAAUACACAUUUGGUGGAAUCAGAAAAGUUAAAGAAUAAACAAAAGGAGAAUUUUUACGUGCGAUCGCAACAAUGCUACUGUAAUGAAUCGUACCGACAAACAUGUCUCCGACGUUUGUUUCCGUAAAUCUAGUUGGGAUCAUCCGGGAAUCCAUGCAGGUAAAGAACACUGCCUUUGGCUGUGACAGGAGGAAUAAUAGACAUUAAAUUAGAUAAAUUACGCAAAAAUAACAUACAUCAAUGGGCAAAAAAGAUUUUCAAGGUUUACUUUUAAAUUGCGCUUGAGCACGCUCAAUUUUAUACACCCCAGUUAGAUGUAGUGCUUUAAAAAAAAAAAAAAAAAAAAAAGUUUUCAAUGUUGAAAAUAAAAGUCAAAAAUUUUCAAAAUGCUUGUUAAUUUCUAUAGCUUGUUACUACAAUUUUAAUUCAUUUUUGAAUGUAAAUGAAAGUAAAUUCUUGAACCAAUUUUUCCAAGCGAUAUUGGAAUCUUGCGUGAUGGAUCAACAUCUAAAUAGAUUCCAAUAUCGCUUUGGAAGAUCGAUUCAUUUACUUCCGAUUGGAAAAUUAUAGUCAAAAUUGUAAUUAAAAGUUCAUCGAAGUGAAUAGAAAUUUUGAAAAUUUUUAACUUUUAUUUUUGACAUCGAAAUAAUAUUUCUUCGAAACACUAUUUCUGACUGGGACGUUUUAUAAAUGGUUCUAAAACAUAUUAGAUUCAUUUGAGAAACAUAUAAAACAAUAUGUGAAUGACACAUGCUAUUUGGGUAAAACAUCCAAUUUUAUUAAAUUUUAUAAUAAUUUUUUAUGAAAUAUACGAAGGCAUUUCUUUCUUCGAUUCUUGAAUAUUUUUUAAUAUGUUCAAGCAAUAAAUAUAUAAAUGUAUAUAAAAAAGUAUGUGGGUAAAUUAAACAUUUUAGAAACAUAUAUUAUACUAUAUAUUUUUAAUUUUUAAUAAUGGAUAUGGUCGGUAAAUAUUCUGCCUUUAAAUAUAUCCUGAUAUAUUCUAAAAUUUACAUCGAUAAUAUAGUUCUGUCUUUGCCAAAGGAGCACUCUAUUGGCAGAAAAACAGAACUACUACACUAUAUUGUUCUACAUCUACCAGCAUAACAUCGUAAGGUAAAUAACAAAAUGUUUUAUUGGUAAAACAGAAUACUUAUUUUUCUAUCUGUCAAUAAGGUAAACGUUCUGUUUAAUAGAUACACGUGUACUCUUCCAAUAAUUAUUAGUCGAUCAAUGACAUAUGAUUUCAAGGUCAUAAUUCGGGUCACUGCAUUCAAAACGAAUGAUUUCAUUAAUUGUGUCAGAUAAAUAAAGUUAAAUGAAGCGAAUUCAUUUUUGAUGGAUCACUUGUUGAGUAUCAAAACAAAACGCACGUGGACCAACCACCCUUGGCGACGCGAGAAAUGUUAGAAUACCUGAGUACUCAUACAUCGAAAGAUUUCGUCACGCGAGAUUUUUUUUUUUUAACUGUACGAACAUACCUCGGGAUGAUCUCUGACUUGUUGGAAUUGCUUCACCAUUCCCUCCCGAUGGCACUUUCUGUACUUCAUGAUCCCCUUGAGUAUUCUGUCCAUUACGGCAUUCGAGCAAUAACUGUGCAACAAAACCGUCAUAAAUUGUUCUGAAUGUGAAAAGCAAUGACAGCACACAAUUCCGCCAUUUGGCAAUUUUAUGGCGGGAAAUUUAAUUUUCCACUUAUCUAUGAUAGAACAAGUCUAUUUCUUUCAAAUUCAGUCGCUUUAAAUCUUAUAAAAUAUAUUAAAAACUAAAAAGAAAGAGCUUUAAAGAAGCACAUCUGAAGAAGUAUAUUAAUAAAAAAUUUUUAAUCCAAAUAGUUUCUAAGAUUAAAUUUAUUUAUUUUAAGCAUUGAUUAUUUUACUAAAAAUGUUUCUAUCAAUUCUAUAAAUUUUUAAUAUUCGUUCAACGUAAAAGAAAUGUGUUUACUUGCGGUUGUAAUUUAUUUGCACAUUUAAAAAAUACAUUGUAGUUUUAUUACAUCUCGUAUGUAAACCUUGCAUCAUUUUUAAGGUUGUAAAUAUACAAAUACAACAUACAACCUUUUCCUACGAAAGUGACAUUAACUAUUUAUCCAUCUUACAACGCUACGAUACUCCGAUGCAAUAAGCUUCACGUCCACUUGAAAGCUUCUUUUAUAUUCAAGAACAAUCUUUAAGAGUAAAAUUGAAAUUAGUGAAUACAUAAUUAAAGGAGAGAGCGGUAUCGAUAUGUAUUAUAUUCACAGGAAACUUAUAUUGUCGUAGAUCAUCGCGAACAGAAGCUCUCAAGUGAACACUCAGUCUUAUACUAUGAGAUCGUGAUGCAUGCAAAAAAGAACAACGUAUGGUUGCAAUGAUUUAUU